UACGUAGGAGGCGGGCGUUGUCCGGAAUUACUGGGCGUAAAGAGCGCGUAGGCGGCGCGGUACGACCGCUGUGAAAGCCCCCAGCUCAACUGGGGAGGGUCAGCGGUAACGGCCGUGCUAUGAGUGCAGGAGAGGGAAGUGGAACUCCGGGAGUAGCGGUGAAAUGCGUAGAGACCCGGAGGAACACCAGUGGCGAAGGCGGCUUCCUGGUCUGCGACUGACGCUGUGGCGCGAAAGCUAGGGGAGCAAACGGG
rnacentral:rRNA from 1 species